CAAGAGAAAUCCACAGCCAAUAAUUUGCUAAGUCAAGCGGUGGAAGUGAGGAAACAAAUAGAAAGUGGCUUGCUAAGUUGGGCGGUGGCCGAGUGGAGAAGCGAGGCUUCAAUUCUUUUCUUACCAACCAAACACCAAGAGCAAAACUGAGAGACUAAGCCAUUUCUUUUCAUCUCAAGGCACAACCGAGAGAAUGGAAAAUAUUUCUGGUUCUUCCUUGUUCCAGUUUUCAACCGAGAGAGUGAGGAAGAGAGUUAGACAUUUGCUAGCUUUAUUUCUCCAGCUUGUAACCUCAAAACCGUGAGCCAAAGUGAGUGAGAGGGAGAGAAAUUCUGGUGGUAUACUUCACCUAACGGGCUCAAUCGAAUGAGAGUGAAGUAGAUUGAAGAAAGAGUGAGAGUUGGUGCAAUUUUGAGGAACCGAAGCUCAACUUGGAGCCAUCUGCACUUGCUGAAUUCUAGAGGAAAGGAGUUCUUGUCCUUAGUUUAGCUACCCGAGAGACAUUAGGAGGAAAAGGAGAGAAGGACCAAAAGAAAGAAACAACAACAACAACUAGGAACUCAUUUCUGGCCUCCUUCAACCGUGAGAACCAGCCACAAAGAAAGCAGGAAUGCAGUCUAUCGAGCUAAGAAUGGGAGAGAGAAACCAGAAUUUUAUUUUCCUAACUUAGAACCAUAAGAACCAGAGGAGACAGCGGUGUGCAAGAAAGCAAUUAUGAGAUCGAAGUGUAACUUUUGAUUAGGGAGUUGGUGGUCAGGGAAUGAACGAGGGAUCUUAGGGAGUUAACGUGAAGACUUUUGUGAUUGUAAAUCCUUUAAUAUCAUAUUAUGGUUGAGGCUAUUAUAUUGAACUUGGUAUUGUAAAAGAUUUGAGCGUUUGGUUUUGGUUUAUCGAAAUGUUAUCUCUGAAAUUAAUGUAA